rnacentral:rRNA from 1 species
UACGUAGGGUGCGAGCGUUAAUCGGAAUUACUGGGCGUAAAGCGUGCGCAGGCGGUUUUGUAAGCCAGAUGUGAAAGCCCCGGGCUCAACCUGGGAAUGGCAUUUGGGACUGCAAGGCUGGAGUUUGGCAGAGGAGACUGGAAUUCCUGGUGUAGCAGUGAAAUGCGUAGAUAUCAGGAAGAACACCAACGGCGAAGGCAGCUCGCUGGGACGGAACUGACGCUAAGGCGCGAAAGCGUGGGGAGCGAACAGG